rnacentral:rRNA from 1 species
GUGGGUCCUGGAUGAGUGGCGAACGGGUGAGUAACACGUGAGUAACCUGCCCCCUUCUUCUGGAUAACCGCAUGAAAGUGUGGCUAAUACGGGAUAUUCUGGGUCUGUCGCAUGGUGGGCCUGGGAAAGAUUGCGCCUUUUUUGGUGUUUUUGGUGGGGGAUGGGCUCGCGGCCUAUCAGCUUGUUGGUGGGGUGAUGGCCUACCAAGGCGGUGACGGGUAGCCGGCCUGAGAGGGUGGACGGUCACACUGGGACUGAGACACGGCCCAGACUCCUACGGGAGGCAGCAGUGGGGAAUAUUGCACAAUGGGCGCAAGCCUGAUGCAGCGACGCCGCGUGAGGGAUGGAGGCCUUCGGGUUGUGAACCUCUUUCGCCAGUGAAGCAGGCCUGCCUCGUUUGUGGGUGGGUUGACGGUAGCUGGAUAAGAAGCGCCGGCUAACUACGUGCCAGCAGCCGCGGUAAUACGUAGGGCGCGAGCGUUGUCCGGAAUUAUUGGGCGUAAAGAGCUCGUAGGCGGCUGGUCGCGUCUGUCGUGAAAUCCUCUGGCUUAACUGGGGGCUUGCGGUGGGUACGGGCCGGCUUGAGUGCGGUAGGGGAGACUGGAACUCCUGGUGUAGCGGUGGAAUGCGCAGAUAUCAGGAAGAACACC